CAGAGGGGGCAAGCGUUGUUCGGAAUUACUGGGCGUAAAGGGCGCGUAGGCGGCCCGCUAAGUCGAACGUGAAAUCCCCGGGCUCAACCCGGGAACUGCGUCCGAUACUGGCAGGCUUGAAUCCGGGAGAGGGAUGCGGAAUUCCAGGUGUAGCGGUGAAAUGCGUAGAUAUCUGGAGGAACACCGGUGGCGAAGGCGGCAUCCUGGACCGGCAUUGACGCUGAGGCGCGAAAGCCAGGGGAGCAAACGGGAUUAGAUACCCCGGUAGUCCUGGCCCUAAACGAUGAAUGCUUGGUGUGGCGGGUAUCGAUCCCUGCCGUGCCGAAGCUAACGCAUUAAGCAUUCCGCCUGGGGAGUACGGUCGCAAGGCUG
rnacentral:rRNA from 1 species